rnacentral:lncRNA from 10 species
AAUUAAAAAAUAUGUUUAUUAUAUAUAUAAUAUGUAUAUGAUUAUGUCAAUCCAUUAGGGCAGCAAACAUAUCGGUCUAUCUAUCAUCUAUCUAUCUCUCUCUCUAUCUAUGAUAUACAUUAUGUAUAUCAAUACUAUCUAUUUAUGUAUCUGUCUAUUGAUAAUGCUCCUUCAUUUGCUUGCUCACUGUACAAAGGCCUGCAGACCUAGAACAGAAAUGGAAUCACCCAUACCAAAG